UACGUAGGGCGCAAGCGUUGUCCGGAAUUAUUGGGCGUAAAGAGCUCGUAGGCGGUUUGUCGCGUCUGCUGUGAAAUCCCGAGGCUCAACCUCGGGCUUGCAGUGGGUACGGGCAGACUAGAGUGCGGUAGGGGAGACUGGAAUUCCUGGUGUAGCGGUGAAAUGCGCAGAUAUCAGGAGGAACACCGAUGGCGAAGGCAGGUCUCUGGGCCACUACUGACGCUGAGAAGCGAAAGCAUGGGGAGCGAACAGG
rnacentral:rRNA from 1 species